rnacentral:misc_RNA from 1 species
UCCCUGUUACCAGGGCAGUCUAGCUAGAGAAAUUCAACUAACUAUAAGGGUUGCGCUCGUUGAUGGACUUAACCAAACAUCUCACGACACGAGCUGACGACGGCCAUGCAACACCUGUCACCGAUCCAACUAAAUGAAGUCCUUCUUUCGAGGGACGGCUAUCGGGAUGUCAAGCCUGGGUAAGGUUCUUCGCUUACCGUCGAAUUAAACAACACGCUCCACCGCUUGUGCGGGUCCCCGUCAAUUCCUUUAUGUUUUAAGCUUGCGCUCGUACUCCACAGGCGGGAUGCUUAACGCGUUAGCUUCGCUACUAGAAGGGUCGAUACUUCUAACAGCUAGCAUCCAUAGUUUACGGCGUGGACUAC